CGGAUGACGGGAGCUUGCUCCUUGAUUCAGCGGCGGACGGGUGAGUAUAUGCCUAGGAAUCUGCCUGGUAGUGGGGGACAACGUUUCGAAAGGAACGCUAAUACCGCAUACGUCCUACGGGAGAAAGCAGGGGACCUUCGGGCCUUGCGCUAUCAGAUGAGCCUAGGUCGGAUUAGCUAGUUGGUGGGGUAAUGGCUCACCAAGGCGACGAUCCGUAACUGGUCUGAGAGGAUGAUCAGUCACACUGGAACUGAGACACGGUCCAGACUCCUACGGGAGGCAGCAGUGGGGAAUAUUGGACAAUGGGCGAAAGCCUGAUCCAGCCAUGCCGCGUGUGUGAAGAAGGUCUUCGGAUUGUAAAGCACUUUAAGUUGGGAGGAAGGGCAGUAAGUUAAUACCUUGCUGUUUUGACGUUACCGACAGAAUAAGCACCGGCUAACUCUGUGCCAGCAGCCGCGGUAAUACAGAGGGUGCAAGCGUUAAUCGGAAUUACUGGGCGUAAAGCGCGCGUAGGUGGUUUGUUAAGUUGGAUGUGAAAGCCCCGGGCUCAACCUGGGAACUGCAUCCAAAACUGGCAAGCUAGAGUACGGUAGAGGGUGGUGGAAUUUCCUGUGUAGCGGUGAAAUGCGUA
rnacentral:rRNA from 1 species